rnacentral:rRNA from 1 species
UGGGGAAUAUUGCACAAUGGGCGCAAGCCUGAUGCAGCCAUGCCGCGUGUAUGAAGAAGGCCUUCGGGUUGUAAAGUACUUUCAGUCGGGAGGAAGGUGUCAAGGUUAAUAACCUUGGCAAUUGACGUUACCGACAGAAGAAGCACCGGCUAACUCCGUGCCAGCAGCCGCGGUAAUACGGAGGGUGCAAGCGUUAAUCGGAAUUACUGGGCGUAAAGCGCACGCAGGCGGUUGAUUGAGUCAGAUGUGAAAUCCCCGGGCUUAACCCGGAAAUUGCAUCUGGUACUGGUCAGCUAGAGGCUUGUAGAGGGGGGUAGGAUGCCAUGUGUAGCGGUGAAAUGCGUAGAGAUGUGGAGGAAUACCGGUGGCGAAGGCGGCCCCCUGGACAAAGACUGACGCUCAGGUGCGAAAGCGUGGGGAGCAAACAGG